rnacentral:lncRNA from 1 species
GAUUCGAAGAGUUUCAAAAUCAAAAGAUUUCAAGUCUUGUUGAGAUGUGUUACUGCUAAAUCAAACCUCAAACUGCAGUUUUGAAAGAAUGGUAAUGCCAAAAAACAAUUUGGUUACAUACUACAUAAGAAUUAAAGGCCAAGUAAUAAUCUGCAAGUACCUCACAGAAAGUUUUGCUAAAGAAAUAAAUUUGCUAAAGAAAUAAAUUGCACAGGCAUAACAAAAUAAACAGAGUUUUACAAAAAUCACACACACGUUUACACUAGAAUUUAAAGAUGAAGUUAGUAGUACAAUAAAAUUAAUUACAGAAACAAUAAUAAUAAUUGUUAUGAGAUAAAUAAUAAUAAUAAUUAUUCUGAGAUAAAUAAUAAUAAUAAUUGUCCUGAGAUAAAUAAUAAUAAUAAUAAUAAUUGUCCUGAGAUAAAUAAUAAUAAUAAUAAUAAUAAUUUUUCUGAGAUAAAUAAUGAUAAUAAUUGUUCUUACAAUUUAUUUGAGACCAAAUAUCCUUUUUCAAGUCUUCUAUGUCUUCUCUCUCUUCAGUUCUUCUUUCGAGUAUGUCCGUGAGGGUGGAUACCUGCAAAGACACAUUGACGCUCAAGUCAACUGAAGUGUAUUUAUCUAGUUCAAAAUUGAAAUAGUCAUUAUCUUUCACCAUGGGAUCCGUUCUUAUUUAUACUUUUCUAUUGAGUUUUGUUUUGUGUAAAGAUACAUUAUCUCUUAAUCAUGUUUUAUCUCUUUUAAUCAGGCUUAAUCUAUUUAAUUUGCAGAUUAAUGUGAUACUAGUUUUAGCCAAAAGGUCGUGCUAUUGAAUAAGGUGAUCUACUUUUCGGCUUCUUGAUUCUUGAUAUAAUAAUAAUAAUAAUAAAACGAUGCAAGAGACCAUAUCAUAAAUCAAAACACAUAUAUAUAUAUAUAUACAAAUGAGAAACUAGAAACUAGUAGUGAGUAAAUAUGAAAAAUAAAAAACCUAUAAAAAUUCGCUUGAGGGAUGAAAAGGAAUAUAAUAGCACAAUUCAGUGCAUUCCUAAUUUGUUCAUGAAAUCACCCACUCAAUGCAGAUUUUCUAUUAAAAUUGAGAAAUUUAUGUGAAUUCUAAGAAUUGGAGAAUAAAAUAAAUGUAUUUUUUAAAGCUAUGAACUUCUUAAAAUGACCAUGAAAGAGAGGGGAAGACUCUUGCGAGAAGAAUCCUUAUUUGGAGAAUAAAAUGAAAUAUAAACCUUAUUUUGAGAAAGGCUUAAAAAUAUUGGAGAAAAAAGGAACAUAAUAAUAAACCAAAAAAUUGUCUUCUACAAUAUCUAAAAUAAUGAAAAUGGAAGACUUUAAUUUGCAACAAGUUUUCUUCAAAAUAUUGAGAGAAAUUGCAGAGUGAGGUUGAGGGAAGAUGUUCUAAUGUAGGAUGAGAGUUAGUAGAAGGAGAGGAAGGUAUUUAUACUAAAUUGAAUGUGACACUGACAAAAAGAAGAGUUAAAACAUUUAAUUUAGAGAGAUAAAUUUAUUAAAUGAAGAAUUGAAAUAAUUUAUUUUUAGAGAGAAAUUUAUUAAACCGACAAUGAAACAUUUUAUUAUAGUGAGAGAAUGAGAGAUUUCUUGUAUAAAAUCAUUAUUGUAGAAAGAGAAAUUCAUAAAUAAUGUGAUAAGAUAAGCGUUUAUUUACUUUAUGUCCUAACUACUACCGUAUAAUACAAUACAUUAAGAAUAAAAAAUUAGGGUGAGUUUAAACAUUCAAUAUCUUGUGACUACAAGCGUGUAUGAAUUCUCACUGUAUACAUUACUUAGUGAAGUUAUAUAAUCUCUAUUAAACAUAGAUUUUUCAUACUUAAUGUACCAUCAAGGAACAACUCAUACAUUAUUAUAAGUGUAUGACAUCAAUUUCAUACAAUUUCCAUUAUUCAGAUACAAUUCAUACCAUCCAAUCACCUAAUAUUCAAGAAUCUUUUCAACAUAAAAAAGCAACACUUAACUACCAAAUUAUCAAAACCAAUAACAUAUAAUCAAACUAUUUUAUCAAAUAACAUCAUGCAAGAAUUUUUUAACUUGGAAUCACGUCAUCUUUACAUCUAGAUCUUCUAGUCUAAAAAACUAUUGAAAGUUAAAGUUAACUUUCCUUAUCUUAAAUUAUUUAUUCCAAUGGAAAUUCUAGUUCAAGCUAGAAAACCACUCCAAAUUUUGAUGACCUAGAGUAAGUUAUUCAAACAUCCCUUGAGAGAAUUACUUUUAUCAACUGACCCUUUUAAGAUUGAUGACCAAAUCCUAAGUAACACAAAGAAUAAAAGAUAUUUAGAGUAAAUAGAAACUAACUAAAAUAAGAGAGUAGAAAACUUGAGAGAGAGAGAGAAAAAAAAAUAUAAGGAGUUGUGUUUUCUGUUAAUUUUUAGGUAUAAUUACCUUUUUGGUUUUUACAUUUAGGGUCAAUAUUCAAUUUACUAUCAUAAUAUUAAAAUAUUCAAUUUGGUCCUAAAGUUUUUUUAAAAUAUAUUUAAGUCGAUCAUUUCUGUUAACUUUGGACUAACAACGUUAAGUGCUUCUGAUGUAACAUACAUAAAUAUUUCUGAUGUGACAUAAAUCGGUGUAAAACAUCACUACAAGAAAAACAUGAAAUAAAAACCAAUUUUAGAGACAAAAAAAAUAGUUGUUAUAGUGACUAAAUUAGAAACCAUUUUAGAGACUAAAAAAAAUUUUGGUUUCUAAAUUAGUUUAUAUUAUUAUUAAAUGGUUUCUAAAUUUGUAUCUAAUUAGCAACCAAGAUUUUUGCUACCAAUUAAUUUUUUUUGUCAUUAAAAAUUAGUUUCUAUUUCAUGAUUUUCUAAUAAUACAUUAAUUGUGAUUUGUUGUACAUGUACGUCUCCACAGCUGCCUCUACAUCCCACCUCCCCCACAUCAAAAUAAAUUAUUUAACGGAUGAUUUGUUUAUUUAUUUAAUGUUAGGUCCAUCUCUUUCCUAUCUUCAUUUGCUCAUUUUAGUUUUUAAUUUAAUUAAAAUGCGUUAAAUUAGUAUUUUGUGCUAAACAUAAAUAGCUUUCUACUGUUAACUUCUCUAUAAAUUAAAAUUAGUUUUUAUGGAAAGCUAGUUUUGUAUAAUUUAUUUCACGUAGUUUUUCCACAUUUUUAAUUUUAACAUCAAUUUUAUUUUUUCUUUUAUAUUUUUUCUCUUUUAAAAGUGUUUACGGAUAAGUGUGUUCAAACAAACCUGAUGUGAAAAUGUACAUUGUACCUAACUCCAUGUGGAAAAUAAUAAAUUUCCAUUACUAUUAACAUCUUUAGUUUUUAUACCAACAAUUCUAACAACAAUGUGCUACUAUGUGUAAAUAAGCAUCACCGAGUCUUAUCAUCAUAAAAAUAAUAUAUUUAAUUGUUUUUUACUAUUUUUUAUAACUCCACCUAUUCUCAUUACAAUUAAGUAAUAUUAAUAGUAGACUACUUUGUUUAUAUUUUUAUAAUAACAUUUUCCAAAUAAUAUAAUAAAAAUUAUGUUAUUUCUUUUUUAUUAUUUAAAGAAUUAUCAUAUCUUUAUCAAUUCAUUCCUCAUACUUGGAGUAUAUUUAGUAAACUAAUAAAUAAUUACUAGUUUAUUUGACAAACUUAUAAGUUAGUUUGACCAACACAAACGUUUUUUUAUAAUAAUAUCACAAUAGCUUAUUUUAUGAGCUUGUAACUCAUAAACUAUAAAAUUAAUUCAAUUAACUUGUAGUUUAUUUAAUAUUUUUUCUCUUUUAUUGUCUCUUAUAUUUUAAUAUUUUUUUUUAUCUUUAAUUUUGUUUUACUAAUUAUUAUUACACAUUUCAAUCUCGUAGACACAAAUUAACUAUUACAUAUAUUUUAAUAUAUUUUUUAUUAUCUCUAAAUUUUUUUACUUAUUAUUAUUACAAAUUUAAAUUUUAUAGAUAUAAAUUAAUUGUUACUUUUUUUUAAAUAAAAACUUUCAUAUUAUAUUAUGCAUUAUUAUGUAACUAGACAUUUCAACUAGACUAACCUAAAACAACAACAAUCAUUUGUCAUUACAUAAAAAAAAGUAUUAUUAAAAAAUUAAAAAUACAAAAAUACCAAAAUGUUAACAAUAAUUAUUACAUCAUUUUAAUAUUUUUAGGUUAUUUUUAAUUUUUUAUGCAUUUUAAAUUAAAAAAUAUUUUAUAUUACAAACUGAACUAACAAAAGAUGAUAUUUAAAAAUUAUAUAAAAUCAAUAUAAUAAUAAAUUAAAUUAAAAUAAUAAUUUUUUUUUAUUUUUUUAUAAUUACUCAUCGGAUCAAGUCAUAUUAAAAAAUAAUAUAUUCAAAUAAAACUUACCAAAACUAUCUGUAAGUUAAAAAAAAGUAUGGAGAAAUCCUUAAUCGUAUAUCAAAUCUGCACUUAAAAAAAUAAUUAAAUAAUAAAUUAAAUUUUAAAAAAAUUAAUAACUAAAAUAUAUAUUAUUCUAAAAACUAAAAAAAUUAUUAUAUUUAAAUUUGUUUCUACUAUUAAUAAAAAAUAAAAAAUAAUUUUAAAUAAUUAUCUAAAUUUUAGUUACUAAUAUUUUAAAUUUUAAAGAUUAAAUUAGUCAAUCUAAUUAAUUUGUCACGUAAUGUUUGAAGUCCAACUUAUCUAUCAAGAUGCCUUAUAGUAAUCUAUCAUUCAUCUCCUUUCAAUCUCAUAAUGAACAAAAUCAACAUUCAAAGAAAAAAAACUUAAGAGAGUGGAUUACACUCAACGAGAGUGUGUUAAGGUUUUUUCUUGGAAUUUGGAAAAAAUUGUUGUUAGUAAAGUUAUAUUUUUAUUUAUUGUGUUAUAUUAUCUUUUCUAGUAAUUUAUUUAGGCAAUGAGUUAAUGUGAAUUAAUAUUUUCCCUGUAUGGUAACUAAUAAUGAAUAUAUAUGAUAUUGUCAUUUAUACGGCGAUUUCUUCUUCCAUCCCCAUAAUUUAAAAAAUAUCUAAAUUACUUUUUGAUUUUUUUUAUUAGACUUUUUUCUUAAUUCUAAAAUGUGAAAUUAGGAGAAUUUCUCAUAAUUUAGAAAAUACCUAAAUUUCUCUGGGAUAUUUUUCAUUAGAUUUUUUUUUAAUUUUAAAAUAUGAAUUUUGGAGAUUUUUUGAAUUAUAAAGAAAUUAAAAUAUAUGUUUUUUCAUAUUUUGAAUACAAAUUUUGUAUUCCAGAAUUUAUAUUCUGGAUAUUCCAUUUCAGAAAACCAAUUUUGUAUUUCAGAUUUUCCAAGAAUACACAAAAUUAUAUUUUAGAUUAUAUAAUAAAAAUAAAUGUUUUUAUAACUUUUGAAAAUAUGGGAUGCACGAACAAAAAAAAUGAAGGUGUAAUUCUGUAAUGAAUGUUCUACUUAAGAAAAGUCACAGAUGGGUGAACAUUUUACUCAUCGCAUUCUUAAUUCAACAACUAUUAUUAUAAAUUGAUAUUUGACCUAUGAACCCAUAACUCCAAUAUGUACAAAGAAGAGAUAAAAAAAAAAAUGUAAGCCCCAUAAAGAGCUCCCCCACACAGUCACCUUUUUCCUUUUUUUAAUUCUUUUUCUCUCCCAACUUUUCUUCUCUUCCUUUUUUCUUAAUUUUUUUUUAAUUUUCAUCUAUUUUAGAAUCUGAUCGUAUCACACUAUAAUUGAUGAGUUAAGAAACAUUUUUAUCCAAUCAAAUUUUUAAAUAUAAUAAAUUUAUUUUUCCUUUAAAGAUUCUUUAUUCUCUGUUUUUCUCUAUGAUUUAGUCAUCAAUCUUAGUGGAGUUAGCUUGUUGAAAUAUUAGAUUUUGAUAGUUUAGUAUUUAAAUGUUGUUUUUUUUUAUGUUAAAUAGGACUUUUAAUGUUGUUGAUUGCGUUUUCAAUAAUAUUGUAUAAUGAAAAUUGUAUGGAAUUGAAGUUAUACAUUUGGGAUAAUGUAUGGACUGAUGUGUGUUUGUUUAUUGAGUAUUGAUGCAUUAAUGUUUAUCUGCUAACAGAGAUCUCUGAGUUUCACUCAUGAUCUAAGUCACAUAAACUAAGAUAUCGAGUGGUGAGGACAUAUGAGAUGCACGACUUGAGUUGUAUUGAACUUACCCUAAUCCUUUCUUUUGGAUUCGCUAGUAAUCUAAGUAUUGGGUAUUGGACUAGGUGUUAGUCUCUAAUAGGACUUACUUAAUAUGAGCCUUCCGAAAUACGUCAAUUGUUAUUUUGUUUGUUGAAUAUCCUAGAUGUGUAUAUUCAAGUGAGAUCUAUGUGAUUGUUUUAUGUUGGGAUUUGAAGAAGAUUGAGCAAUUGAGAAACUGAUCAAUGCAAUUUGGUUUGCUCUUUUGAUUGAAUUGUCUAUAUUAUAAAAUUUUAUUUUCAUUAGUUUACCCUUACUUUUCUUGUUGUGUUGGGAACUGCAAUGACUAUACACGAGUAUAUGAUCAUACAGGUGAUGGAGGUUUUAAAGGGCUUUAGGAUGUUGUUUUGAACCUCAUAUUGUAAAUAUUUGUAUUUCUAUCAGUCAUAAUCAUGUAUUAGGAAUAUUUUGAAAAAUUCUAAACUUGUAUAUUAACAUAUGAAUUUUGUAUUGUAAUAGUUAGAUGUAUUUCUAAGAUGUUAUAAGAGAACCUCCAAAGAGUCUUACAACAAAUCCCAGAACUAGGAUCUACUACAAAUGGACUGCCUGAUUUUUUAGGUAGCCCAAAGUAACCUCCGACAACACCCAACAAAACUGAAUAUGAAGUCAACCCUCCUUUGAUGAAAUUAUUCCCAUCACAGAGAGAUAGUCCCAAAACUAUUGAUAAAAUUUUCCUUUGUAAACACACUCCAUUCAACAAAAGAGUGACACACCUAAGACUUGAGAUACGAGGUCAGUGCUCUUUACAGUGAAAGCCUCCCAUGACAGAGAUGUUCCCAGAAUAGCACCAAGGACACAAAGAUGAGCUCCCUUGUUCCAUAGAAGCACAGAUAAAUCUGAACAGAAAUACCUCAAAUGCAAGCAUAAACCUUUAUAAACAAAGGCUGCAACAUACACCACAUACCUUUGUGCAGCGUAUAUUCAUACCAUAUUAAGAAAAACACAUCUUAAACCUAACUAAGAGAUCAACAAAUAUAUCAAUGAAACAUAAGAUAUGUUACAUAGAUUUAAGACACACAAAAUACUAUAUUGGCACCAUUUAGGAUAUGAAAAAUUCUAACUUUUUAUUUAUGUUUAAUUCAGGAUCAAAUUUUUAAUUGAAUCACCUUUUAAAUUGAGUAAAACACCACACUUCAAUCAUAUCAACCUUUUUUCUUCCUAAAAAAUAUUAUUCCUAUGAUUUCUAUGCAUCUCACUUGUAAUCUUAAGUGCAUUUUUAUUCUAUACUUAUUAUCAAAUCAUUAUAUAUCAAUGGGUAUAAUAUAUAUUACCUUUGUACAAUAUAUAACCAAUUUUUUUCUUUUUUUUGCAUGAUUAUUCCUUUCAAAAUUUCAAUCUUUGGUUUUUCUUUAGCAGAAACAACAACAAUAAGACGUAGAAUUUUUUAAAGUUGAAACUAUUCGAACCAAAAUAAUGAGGAGACAAUAACAGAGUUGGCUGCUGUUACUACCCUGCACUAAGCAUUAACCAGUCACUCAAUUUCAAUCUUACCCUUCCAAUUUCAAUUUAUAGAUAUCAUUAUUCUUUUGAGAAUGAUAAUUUACUCUGAUAUAAUCUAUUUUAAUUUCUUUAAGCUCACCAUUCUGAAAAGAAUCUGAAUGUUUGUAAAAUUAAAUUGAAAGAGUAAAAUUGAUAAUAAGUGACAGUUUAAUGCUUAUUGCAGGAAGAAACAGCUCCCAACUCUGUUACUGGCUCCUCACUAUUUGGGUUCGAAGAGUUUCAAAAUCAAAAGAUUUCAGGUCUUGUUGAGAUGUGUUACUGCUAAAACAAACCUGAAGCUGCAAUUUUGAAAGAAUGGUAAUGCCAAAACACAAUUUGGUUACAUAUUGCAUAAGAAAUAAAGACCAUGUAAUAAUUUGCAACUACUUUGAAAGAGUUUUGCUAAAGAAAUAAAUUACACAAGCACAAAAAAAAUAAAUCGAGUUUUACAAAAAUCACACACACAUUUACACUAGAAUUUAAAGAUGAAGUUAGUAGUAAAAAAAAUUAAUUACAAAAACAAAAAAUACCCACAACAUAUACUCAUACAUUAAUUAGCCUUUUACGUGAAAACAUUUGAAUUGUAUAAAUAACCUCAAAUUGAGAUAAAUAAUAAUAAUAAUAAUAAUAAUAAUAAUAAUAAUAAUAAUAAUAAUAAUAAUAAUAAUAAUAAUAACAGUUCUGAGAUAAAUAAUAAUAAUAAUAAUAAUUGUUCUGAGAUAAAUAAUAAUAAAAUAAUAAUAAGUGUUCUUACCAUUUAUUUGAGACCAAAUAUUCUCUAUCAAGUGUCUUCCGUCUUCUCUCUCUUCAAUUCUUCCAUUGUUCUUUUGAGUAUGUCUGUGAGAUUGGAGUACCUGCAAAGAUACUCUGACGCUCAAGUCAGUUGAAUUGUAUAUCUGAUUAUCUAGUUCAAAAUUGAAACAGUCAUUACUUUUUACCAUAAGGUCUCCUCUUAUUUAUGCUUUUCUAUCGAGCUUUGUGUUGUGUAAAGAUUAGACCUAAUAAUCCCUUAAUAAUGUUUUAUCUCUUUUAAUCAAUGUUAAUCUAUUUAAUUUACGGAUUAACGUGAUACUAGUUUUAGCCAAAAGGUCGUGCUACUCUAUAAGGUGAUCUAAUUUUUUGCUUCUUGAUUCUUGAUAUAAUAAUAAUAAUAAUAAUAAUAAUAAUAAAAUGAUACAAGAGACCAUAGAAAAAUCAAUAUAUAUAUAUAUAUAUAUAUAUAAUGAAAAACUAGUAGUGAGUAAAUAUGAAAAAUCAAAAACCUAUAAAAAUUCGCUUGAGGGAUGAAAAGGAAUAUAAUAGCACAAUUCAGUGCAUUCCUAAUUUGUUCAUGAAAUCACCCACUCAAUGCAUAUUUUCUAUCAAAGUUGAGAAAUUUAUGUGAAUUCUAAGAAUUGGAGAAUAAAAUAAAUGUAUUUUUUAAAGCUAUGAACUUCUUUAAGAUGACCAUGAAAGGGAGGGGAACUCUCUUGCGAGAAUAAUCCUUAUUUGGAGAAUAAAAGGAAAUAUAAACCUUAUUUUGAGAAAGGCUUAAAAAUCUUGGAAAAAAAAGGAACACAAUAAUAAAACAAAAAGUUGUCUUCUACAAUAUCUAAAAUAAGAAAAAUGGAAGACUUUAAUUUGCAACAAGUUUUCUUCAAAAUAUUGAGAGAAAUUGCGGAGCGAGGUUGAGAGAAGUUGUUC